rnacentral:snoRNA from 1 species
AAACCAUGGUGUGGGCAAUCUCUUAGGUAAUCUCUGAAUCUUUCCCAGGCGUCGUAGAGGUCUUUUGUGUCCUCCUGCUGAAAUUUUUUUAUCUUGUCCCUUAAGAGAUU